CUACGGGGCGCUGCAGUGGGGAAUAUUGGACAAUGGGGGCAGCCCUGAUCCAGCCAUGCCGCGUGUGUGAAGAAGGCCUUUUGGUUGUAAAGCACUUUAAGCGAGGAGGAGGCUACUGGUACUAAUAUUACCAGCUAGUGGACGUUACUCGCAGAAUAAGCACCGGCUAACUCUGUGCCAGCAGCCGCGGUAAUACAGAGGGUGCGAGCGUUAAUCGGAAUUACUGGGCGUAAAGCGCGCGUAGGCGGUUUGUUAAGUCGGAUGUGAAAUCCCCGGGCUCAACCUGGGAAUUGCAUUCGAUACUGGCAAGCUAGAGUAUGGGAGAGGAAGGUAGAAUUCCAGGUGUAGCGGUGAAAUGCGUAGAGAUCUGGAGGAAUACCGAUGGCGAAGGCAGCCUUCUGGCCUAAUACUGACGCUGAGGUGCGAAAGCAUGGGGAGCAAACAGGAUUAGAUACCCUAGUAGUC
rnacentral:rRNA from 1 species